GCGUUCUGGAAUUAUCAUGUUCGACAUGUCGAGGGUCGUGGAGGAACUCGUCUUCAACUGUCUCGAUGCUGGUGCGACCAAGGUUUCUAUCUUCGUUGGUGUUGUUUCGUGCUCUGUCAAGGCUGUGGAUGAUGGAUCAGGCGUUUCCAGAGAUGAUUUGGUUUU